AGCUCCAAUAGCGUAUAUUAAUGUUGUUGCAGUUAAAAUGCUCGUAGUUGAAUUUCUGCAGAAGCCAACGCGUGGUAGACUUUUUGUCGCUUUUGUGUUGGUUUCGCUAUGUGGUGGCCGUCUGUGCAUUCUUCAUUGAGUGUACGCGUUCAUCCGUUUUACUUUGAGAAACUUAGGGUGUUCCAAGCAUGUUAUCGCAUGAAUAUUCCAGCAUGGAAUAAAUUGGUACGACUUUGGCUCUGCCUUUUGGUUCGCAGGACUGAAGUAAUGAUUAACAGGGACUGUCGGGGGCAUUGGUAUUUUGACUGUCAGAGGUGAAAUUCUUAGAUUUGUUAAGGACUGCCUACUGCGAAAGCAUUUGCCAAGGAUGUCUCCA
rnacentral:rRNA from 1 species